GACGAGCGGCGGACGGGUGAGUAAUGCUUGGGAACAUGCCUUGAGGUGGGGGACAACAGUUGGAAACGACUGCUAAUACCGCAUAAUGUCUACGGACCAAAGGGGGCUUCGGCUCUCGCCUUUAGAUUGGCCCAAGUGGGAUUAGCUAGUUGGUGAGGUAAUGGCUCACCAAGGCGACGAUCCCUAGCUGGUUUGAGAGGAUGAUCAGCCACACUGGGACUGAGACACGGCCCAGACUCCUACGGGAGGCAGCAGUGGGGAAUAUUGCACAAUGGGCGCAAGCCUGAUGCAGCCAUGCCGCGUGUGUGAAGAAGGCCUUCGGGUUGUAAAGCACUUUCAGUCAGGAGGAAAGGGUGGUGGUUAAUACCUGCUAUGUGUGACGUUACUGACAGAAGAAGCACCGGCUAACUCCGUGCCAGCAGCCGCGGUAAUACGGAGGGUGCGAGCGUUAAUCGGAAUUACUGGGCGUAAAGCGUACGCAGGCGGUUUGUUAAGCGAGAUGUGAAAGCCCCGGGCUCAACCUGGGAACUGCAUUUCGAACUGGCAAACUAGAGUGUGAUAGAGGGUGGUAGAAUUUCAGGUGUAGCGGUGAAAUGCGUAGAGAUCUGAAGGAAUACCGAUGGCGAAGGCAGCCACCUGGGUCAACACUGACGCUCAUGUACGAAAGCGUGGGGAGCAAACGGGAUUAGAUACCCCGGUAGUCCACGCC
rnacentral:rRNA from 1 species